CCUGCCUCUGCAUGUCACUGUCCAGCCAUCCAUCUACUCACUCACUACUCUAACUGUCCACCCAUCCAUCUACUCACUCACUACUCUAACUGUCCAGCCAUCCAUCUACUCACUCACUACUCUAACUGUCCACCCAUCCAUCUACUCACUCACUACUCUAACUGUCCACCCAUCCAUCUACUCACUCACUACUCUAACUGUCCACCCAUCCAUCUACUCACUCACUACUCUAACUGUUCACCCAUCCAUCUUCUCACUCACUACUCUGUCCACACAUCCAUCUUCUCACUCACUACUCUGUCCACCCAUCCAUCUACUCACUCACUACUCUAACUGUCCACCCAUCCAUCUUCUCACUCACUACUCUGUCCACCCAUCCAUCUACUCACUCACUACUCUAACUGUCCACCCAUCCAUCCACUCACUCACUACUCUAACUGUUCACCCAUCCAUCUUCUCACUCACUACUCUAACUGUUCACCCAUCCAUCUACUCACUCACUACUCUGUCACCCAUCCAUCUACUCACUCACUACUCUAACUGUCCACCCAUCCAUCUACUCACUCACUACUCUAACUGUUCACCCAUCCAUCUACUCACUCACUACUCUGUCCACCCACCCAUCUACUCACUCACUACUCUAACUGUCCAUCCAUUCAUCUUUCCAUCCAUCCACCAUAUCCAUCCACCUGCCCACCCAUCUGCUUAGCUGG
rnacentral:lncRNA from 1 species